GCCAGUAGUGACUGUUCCUGAAAACAAAUGGCAGGAACUAACGCGCGGGAAGAAGGAAACAAUUGUUGAGCGUCAUCAUACAUUUGACUUGCAUAAUGAUUUCCAUAUACGAUAAACUGUGAAAAAUCUUAUGUUGCUUCAAAUCAACAGUGGAAUUGAGUGGAAAUUUCGUAAUAUAAUGCCUGCCUUUACAAAUCUAUUGAUAUGUUGGGGACGAAGAUAAAGAUGAAACUGUCGAAAUUGAUGAAAGUUCUCAAGCUAUUUCCGAAGCAGCUGUCAUGAAUUUCCUUCAGAUGGUGGAAAAGGAGGAUGGAUUAAAUUUCGGCAAUUAGAGAGGAGCAAGAGACUGAAUAUGAAUUUCCAAAGGCCGAUGCAGUCAGGAGUGGUAAAGUUAUUGUUUCUCAGCCAAAAUCACAUGUAAGCGACAACAAUACAAAUGAAGGAGCACCAUCUACACGUGAGCAGCAGCAGCAAGUAAAACAUAGACGUGAGCGUAGUGAUUAUAAAUUUAAAAAAAACUUAUUUUGUGGUACACGACACAGAAUGGAAAGGAUCACCACCAGUAGAAGAAAUGACACCUUUGCAAUAUUAUAAAAUAUUUAUGAAUGAUGACGUAUUUGAACUCAUUGCUGAGCAGUCCAAUAUCUAUGCUUUGCAAAAAGAUUCAGUUUAUUUGCAGACGAACAAAUGAAAUGUAGCAGUUUGUUGGUAUUUUACUGUACAUGGCCAUAAUCAAAAUGCCUUCAAUUCAUUUAUACUGGUUGAAUGAGUAUAGGUAUUCACCAUUAGCUGAUGUGAUGAGCAGGAGUUGCUUCUUCCAGCUUCUGCAGUAUUUUCAUGUUGUCAAUAAUGAAGACUUGCCUGAAGCUAAUACUAAUCGUGACAAACUCUUCAAGAUUUACCCACUUUUAUCUGUAUUGCAGUCAUCAUUGAAGACACUCCCUCCAGAAGAAUACCAAGCUGUUGAUGAUUAUAUCAUACCAUUCAAGGAUAGAAGCAAUUUGAAACAGUACGUAAGAAAUAAGCCUCACAAGUGGGGCUACAAAUCUUUUACGAGAGCUGGUGCUUCAGGCAUGAUGUAUGAUUUUGAAAUUUAUGUUGACAAAAUCACCUGCAGUGAUAGAGGAUUAGGUUUUUCUGGGGAUAUUGUUUUGGCAUUGACGGAAACAUUGCCAGAGAAACAGCAUUUCAAAGUGUUUGCUGAUAGUUGGUUUUCAUCUAUACCAUUAGCAAUUGCCCUGAAAGAAAGGGGCAUUGAAUUCUGUGGCACUAUCAGGACAGACUGGAUGGGAAAAUGUCCCUUGAAAACUGAAGUGGAGCUCAAGAAAACUGGACGUGGCUGCUGUGACUGGAGACAACAAACAAUGUAGCUUUAGUACGCUGGUUUGACAGAAAAUGCAUAAAUUUCGUGUCAACAUGUGCUUGUGUUGAGCCCAUGGCAACAUGUAGAUGCUAUUCAGCAUCUUACAUAGCGGAAAAGUACAACAAACAUAUGGGGGGCAUGGACCUUGCUGACAUGCUGAUAGAACUAUACCGUAUCAACUUGAGGUCACGGAAGUGAUAUAUGCGCAUUGUGUACUGGUGUUCGUCUGUAGCAGUUGUCAAUGGAUGGCUACUCCACCAACUUCAUGUGGUCCAACGUGGCAAAACCUCAAAGAUGUCACUCCUGUAGUUCCAAGCUAAUAUUGCUGCAGGUCUACUGCUUGCGGGGAAAUCAGCUUCCCAAAAGAAGAGAGGAAGACCAAGUUCUGAAAUGUUGAAAAGGUCUUCUGCAACAAAAAGGACUGUAUGUGCAGCCCCAGUUAUGGACGCGCAUUUUGAUGGGUUUGAACACUUUGCAGAUAUGGUAGAGAAGAAAGUUCGAUGUAAAGUUUGCAUUAAGUCUACUACACAAAUUUUUUGCACCAAGUGUAAAUUGCAUCUGUGUCUCACAGUAAAUAAGAAAUGUUUCCACAUCUUUCAUGGAAUAUAACAACUUCAUAAGGAGAAGAUACAACACACACUGAUGUCUGACAAGAUACAUGAAAGUAAAACAGUGAAAUGUUUGCAGUACAAAAAAUUUCAAAUUUUUACUAAUUCACCAAGUUUAAUUUGUUAAUUACUCGAAGGAAAAUUAGUCAUCAACACAUUGUCAAUAAUAAAAAUGCUGUGCAUAGACUUCUAAGCUGUAAAAUGUGAUGUAUAAAUCAAUAUUUUGCUUAAAUGAACCCAUGUUUAUUGAAUUUUGUUUCUAUGAUGUCACUACCUGUAAGAACCACUGUUGCUUAAAAGCAACAUUCAAAAAUUUUGGAAUAAAACAUAUAAAAAAGGAU